GGACGAACAACACUGGUGCGUCAGCACUGUGCCGAGCACACAAGAGUGAAACCCCGUAUUGGUGCGUGUAUCGCUUUAAGAAAAAAUCAUGUGACCGAUACAGAAAGUGUGUCGAUUGGAUGUGCUGCGCCAAAUUGUGUUUAAAAGGAAACAAACUGUAUUGACAUGUAUUGUUGCUGUGUCUGUUUGACCUCACCUUGUUCAACUUCUGACUUCAUGGAUCGUUCCAAUAAGAAGAAGUUUUCCCCAGUCUGGAAUCAUUUUGAUCUUUUGACGGCAAAUAAGGUGAAGUGUCGGCUCUGCUCCACAGAGCUAUCUUACAUCAAUAAGAGCACUUCAUCAAUGCUGAGGCAUUAUAGAGCUCAGCAUGGCAAUGAAGAAUUGGCAGAUACUCGUGUGAGUACCCCAGUUCCUAACAAGCAAGCAGUGGAUGAGGCUGUGGUCAACAUGAUCAUCAAAGACUGAAAACACAUAUUUUUUGUGUUUGUAUAUUUCUGUUGCAGUUUGUCAUGUGAUAAUAAACUAACAACUAACAAAGAAUUAUUUCUAAAAUAUUUGUUAGGGCACAAUCUCUGGAAACCUCUGGAUAUGGAGGUUGAGGAGAACAACUCGACCUCGAAUACUACAGCUGGUUCCACAGUUGAAGUCCAACGCUACCUGGCUGAAACCAACACACCCAGAGCACAAGAUCCGUUACAAUAUUGGAAAAAUAACCAGAAAACAUAUCCACACCUGUAUCAACUUGCACUUAAAUUUUUAUGCACACCAUCCUCAUCUGUACCCUGUGAGAGAGUUUUUUCUAAGGCAGGGGAACUGAUGUCCAAGAAGAGAAAUCGCCUUGGAGCAAAGACACUACAAAAACUUUUGUUCCUCAAUAAAAGUGUA
ensembl:lncRNA